rnacentral:rRNA from 1 species
UUGGCGGCGUGCCUAACGCAUGCAAGUCGCACGGGGGCUUCGGCCCUAGUGGCGGACGGGUGAGUAACACGUAGGGACCUGCCCAGAAGUGGGGGACAACUCUCCGAAAGGGGAGCUAAUACCGCAUGCGGUCUACGGACCAAAGCCGAAAGGCGCUUCUGGAGGGUCCUGCGGUGGAUUAGCUUGUUGGUGGGGUAACGGCCUACCAAGGCGACGAUCCAUAGCUGGUCUGAGAGGAUGAUCAGCCACACUGGGACUGAGACACGGCCCAGACUCC